rnacentral:lncRNA from 8 species
GUUCUAGAGAGGAGGUCACCCAUGAACAACAACCAUGGAGGGGAACAUGAUUACAACAGCGGGGACCGGAACCGGAGCUGACUCUGUAACCAUGGUAACAGGUCCCACUGGCACCCCGGAUCUCCAGGUUCUGACCCACAGAGUGAAGCUUCUAGAGCACAGCCUGAGAGACAACGUCAGCUCCUUCACUGAGUCUGAGAGCGCUCUGCACAACAGGAUUAGAGAGUUGGAGGUGUCAGAACAGAGCCUGCUACAGAAGGUGGAGGACCUUACUGCCAACUCAGUCCUCCACUGCCCCAGCAUGCUGCAGCGCCAGAGGCUGGACGAGCGGCUCCACACGCUGAGGGAGGAGGUACGCUCCAUGUCCCAGGAGAAGGAGCGUGGGGAUCGUGUGUGGAGGGAGAGGCUGCGGCGCUGCCAGGCCCAGCUCAGGGCUAAAGAAGAGGAGAUGGGCCGCCAGUCUCAGUACUUUGAGCACUUUAAGAGCCAGCUGCACCACAAGCUAGACCUGGCCAGAGACAGGGAGCAGGGCCUGCAGACCAGACUCCACCAGCUGGAGCGACAGGUGCUGGAGAUGAACGUAUCUGCUGCCACCUACAUAGUCCCUGUCAACACAGCUAGCACCAACUCCGUUACUGCAGCCAAUGUCAAUCCCAUCAUAGUACCAACCUCAGGCCAACAGAGAACAGAGACAGAGAGACUGCCCCACCCAAGGGAGGAAGGAGAAGGAGAGGAGGAGGACGGUGAGGAGAAGACACAGCGGAGACACUACGGACAACAGCUCCAGCAGAAGCAGGGAGCGGAUGAUAGAGAAAUAGAGGGAGAAAGAGAGGGGGAGGAAGAGGGUGAGAGUCUGGGGGGUGAGGCUAGACUGAGAAGCUUCAUCCUCAGCCUCCAGGAGGACCUCCGGGGUCUGCUGGAGAGGGAGGAGCAGGAGCUGGCGGAGCAGAGGGGGCUGAUGGAACAGCUGCAGGAAGCGCAGGAGAACAACCACUUCUUGUCCUGUACGUUGGAGGAGAUGAGGACGGUGGUCCACAGACUGAAGCUGACAGAGAGCUCCCUGAUGGAGGAGGUGGAGGAGCUGCAAGAGGAGAACCAGAGACUGUGUCAGAGGCUCAGCCACACCCUGAGACAGACCAACCACAGCCUGGGUUCUACUGACCCCAGCCCUGUCUCUACCCCCAGCCUGGCUACCUCCCUGACAAACGCCCCUGGCCUGAGUCAACCAGUUCCCUGCUCUGUGGACAACACUGACCCGGUGAAGAUGAUCCCAGGCCAGUCUUCACUAGACACACCUCCCUCUGCUCAUCACCAUGGAGCAACAGAGAGGUCACAGGAAAACUCCACUCUGCCUCUGCCCCAGCCGGACCUCCUGAACCUCUCAGGCCACCGUAGCCAGAACCCCUGCCUCAUAUCCCUGGGUACUAAGAGCAUUGAGGGUCUGGGGGAGUUGACCCUGAGGGACUGGUGUCCUGGUCCUGGGGGCGUCCCCUCUCUAAACCUGGAGGAGGGGACAAGCGAGGAGACUGAGGCCCUGAGAGAGGCUUACAGGAGCAUGGGGGGCGACAUGGACUCACUCCGGGACCACAGGGACCAGCUGGAGAGCACGCUACGACACACACAGGACCAGCUGCACAGGGUGACCGAGGAGAACGCCCAACUGAAAUGUAAACUCAGGGCGCAGGGAGAAACAGGGGCCUGCGAGGUGGAGCAGGGGUCCUCGCUUGUAGGCGAGAGCAUGACAAAUGUCCAGGAAAACAAGGUGCCAACUCCAAACCUAAUACCCCAGGGGAGCAGAGAGCUCACUGCAACUCCAUAUCAGAAUGAUACUAUCCUAGCCUUAGCCCAGGAUGACCUGUCCCUGUAUGCCUUAGCCCAGGAUGACCUAGCCCUAGCCUUGAACCAGGAGAACCGGGCCCUGGGCAGGCGUAUCCAGGAGCUCCUAGCCCACAUAGAGCGCCAGGAGGGGGAGAGUGAGAGGGAGCUAGUCCAGCUCAGGCUACAGGUGUCCCUGCUAGAGAGGGAGAGCACCAGGCUGGAGCAGGAGAACCAGGAGCAGGGAGGUCUCAUCACUGAGCUGACCAGGAAGACUGAGGAUGACCUCAACACUAUCAUAGAGCUGCAGGAAAGACGGGUCGAGAGCAGUCAGCUAGGCCUACAGCAGGAGGACCGUUUGACCACGGAGUCAACGUGCAGGCUUAGAGAGAACAGGGACGAGCUGAUUGGCUAUCUCAGUGAUCUCAAAGAGGAAAGAGAACAGGUGUCCCUCUCACUUAGCAGUCAAACAGAGGAGAAACACCAGCUAACGCGCUCCAUGUGGGUUCUGAAAGAAGAACGCGACCAGAUCCAUAAGUCACUCUGCAGUUUAAAAGAAGAGAAAGAACAGCUGACAAGGUCCCUCUGUGGUCUGAAAGAUGAGAGAGACAAGGUGAUGCGGUCAAUGUGUGGUUUAAAAGAGGGGAGAGAUCAGCUAGUUCAGUCAAUGUCUGGACUCCAGGAGGAGAGACACCAGCCAGUUCAGUCAAUGUCUGGACUCCAGGAGGAGAGAGACCAGCUAGUUCAGUCAAUGUCUGGACUCCAGGAGGAGAGACACCAGCCAGUUCAGUCAAUGUCUGGACUCCAGGAGGAGAGAGACCAGCUAGUUCAGUCAAUGUCUGGACUCCAGGAGGAGAGAGACCAGCUAGUUCAGUCAAUGUCUGGACUCCAGGAGGAGAGAGACCAGCUAGUUCAGUCAAUGUCUGGACUCCAGGAGGAGAGAGACCAGCUAGUUCAGUCAGUGACUGGACUCCAGGAGGAGAGAGACCAGCUAGUUCAGUCAAUGUCUGGACUCCAGGAGGAGAGAGACCAGCUAGUUCAGUCAAUGUCUGGACUCCAGGAGGAGAGAGACCAGCUAGUUCAGUCAAUGUCUAGACUCCAGGAGGAGAGAGACAAGCUCUUGCAGUCUCUCUUCAGCCAAAAAGAUGAGAGAGACCAGUUGAUGCAGUCAAUGUGUGGUUUAAAGGGACAGAGGGACCAGCUAACACAGACACUCAGCCGUCUAGAGCAGGAGAGAGACAAGCUGUCAUCUCUCAGUCUUCAAACACGAAAGAGGUACCAGGUGGACCAGUUUGUCUCUGAUCUAAAAGAAGAGAAGGAGCAGCUAGUUCAGUCAAUGGAUGUUCUGAGAGAACAGAGAGAACAGCUCACAGAGGAGAGAGACCAGUUGCAGAUGGACGUCGCUACUCUACGGAAUCAGCUGCUGUUACAGGGGCGGAGCCACAACCAGCAGCCCUCAGAGAACCAUGUUGGCAAGGCAACACGCACAGAGGUUGUGGCUACAGAGAGAGGGGGUCAGAUGCCAAAAACGCAUGAUGAUGGUGAUGUCACUCAUAGAUGCCUGGCCACGGUCUACUCCUACAAGACCAUCCGUCUGGCGCAGUCUGCACAGGACCAUUUGGGAGAGAAAGAGGGAACAGAUGUGGAGCAGAGUGGACUGAUGAGGGAGAUCGAGUCGCUGGGGUUAGAACUCAGAAGCUCACGAGAGGUACUGAAGAAGACCCAAUCAGAGAGUGUUGCUCUGAAGGAGCUGAGUUCAGAGUACACAUCUCUGAAGAGAGAGCAGGGCAGCAGAGAGGACUGGAGCAACACACUCACCUUACUGAGGGUGCGCUAUGAUGACAUCAGAGCUAAGUACAACGUUCUCCUGAGAAAGAGUCAGACGGACCAGGACAUAGCUCCUCUAAAGGCCAAGCUGUCAUGUCUGGUGGGGAAGUGCCAGCAGAGGAACAGUCUACUGGUGCAGUUGAUGCGAGCCCUGCGUCGGUAUGGCUGCCUGGACUACAAUCUGACCCAGGAGGCUGAGGACCUGCUUAACGACACAGCGCUGCAGGACUACGCCAGCACCUUCACACCCCCAUCCACUGCAGCUCUGCAGGAGAACACCCCCCUUCUCCCACCUGCAGCCUCAGAACGACCGGAGCGCUCACAGACCUCUGCUGCAGCCUCCACAGCACAGGAGCUGAGUAAAGCUGUGUCUGAAGGCAGUAGGAGGGAACACUUCAGAGUGUGUGUGGCCACAGCAGACUACUGCCCCUCUCCGAACAUGCCUCACACUCUACUGCCAAUGCUUCCCCUUUCUGCGGGUGAAUCAGUCCAAGUCACUGGACUCCCAGACAGACGUGGGAUGUACCAUGCCGAGGUGAAAGGGAAGUCUGGCCUGGUCCCUGCCCGUUUCUUAGAGGAGAAUGGGAGACCACUCAUCCUGACUUCCCCCUCGCCAGAGAGAUGUGCCAGUCUGACUAGGAAGCUGACCAGUCCAGGGAAGAUCAUCAACCUUCACCAGCAGUUGCAGAACACUCUCUCCAACAGCUACCAGGUUUUCCCUUCCAAGACCAGCCCCCAGGUUUACUCCAGUCCCCCUUCAGGACAGGGGUACUCCCCAGGAUACCCCAACCACAACCCUUCUGCCCCCAACCGACCCAAGCAUACCCUUGUAGCAACUACCCCUAUUAUUACUACUACUAGUCUCCUAUCUACCACUGCCCCCACUAAAACUACCAGUGAUGGUGCUACCUCUCCUAAGCAGACCCCAAACAGAGCACAUCCAACUACCAACCCUCCUGUCCACACCACCACCACCACUACUGCUCUUAGCAGUGGUAAAGAACCCCUCUCUAAAACUGUCUCUAUUGCUGCUACCUCCAAUGUUACAACCCCUGUUAAUACCCCUCCUACCGCUGUGGCCCAGACUGCUAAAGCACAAACUACCACUGCCUUGUGGAACACUGCCCCCACCAAAUCUGCCCCUUCAACUAUUACCGCUGGAACUACAGCCCCCACCAAAAUGGCCCCCAUCACUACUGCUCUUUCCCUUGCUGAGUUGUCACGACUGCCUGAUGAGGACCAUUGCAUCAAGAAGCCCCUCGCAAUCCUCCAACCUGAACAAGCUAAGCCAACCAAACCCAGAGCUAUACCAGAACCUCCAGCUGAGGUGGGCUCUGUUGAGGUCCUCAGGACUGUGGGACAGAGCAGCCUCAUGAUUGGUUGGGAGAGACCGCCACUGGAUGAGCUGGGCUGCAGCAACGGAACCUUUGUGUAUGGAUACAUGGUAGGCUGCUCCUCUCGCCUUGGAUACAUUAGAAUGUAA